AGCGAACGCUGGCGGCAGGCCUAACACAUGCAAGUCGAACGAACUCUUCGGAGUUAGUGGCGGACGGGUGAGUUACACGUGGGAACGUGCCUUUUGGUUCGGAAUAACUCAGGGAAACUUGUGCUAAUACCGAAUGUGCCCUUCGGGGGAAAGAUUUAUCGCCAUUAGAGCGGCCCGCGUCUGAUUAGCUAGUUGGUGAGGUAACGGCUCACCAAGGCGACGAUCAGUAGCUGGUCUGAGAGGAUGACCAGCCACACUGGGACUGAGACACGGCCCAGACUCCUACGGGAGGCAGCAGUGGGGAAUCUUGCGCAAUGGGCGAAAGCCUGACGCAGCCAUGCCGCGUGAAUGAUGAAGGUCUUAGGAUUGUAAAAUUCUUUCACCGGGGACGAUAAUGACGGUACCCGGAGAAGAAGCCCCGGCUAACUUCGUG
rnacentral:rRNA from 1 species